rfam:Brachypodium distachyon strain Bd21 chromosome 2, whole genome shotgun sequence.
UUUAUACUCCCUCCGUCUCAUAUUAAGUGACUCAAAUUUUUUCAAAUAUGAAUGUAUCUAUGCUUAAAAAACAUUUAGAUAUAUGUAAUAAAAAGUCACUUAAUAUGGGACGGAGGGAGUAUCAU